rnacentral:rRNA from 1 species
ACGCUGGCGGCAGGCCUAACACAUGCAAGUCGAGCGGUAGAGAGAAGCUUGCUUCUCUUGAGAGCGGCGGACGGGUGAGUAAUGCCUAGGAACCUGCCUGGUAGUGGGGGAUAACGUUCGGAAACGGACGCUAAUACCGCAUACGUCCUACGGGAGAAAGCAGGGGACCUUCGGGCCUUGCGCUAUCAGAUGAGCCUAGGUCGGAUUAGCUAGUUGGUGGGGUAAUGGCUCACCAAGGCGACGAUCCGUAACUGGUCUGAGAGGAUGAUCAGUCACACUGGAACUGAGACACGGUCCAGACUCCUACGGGAGGCAGCAGUGGGGAAUAUUGGACAAUGGGCGAAAGCCUGAUCCAGCCAUGCCGCGUGUGUGAAGAAGGUCUUCGGAUUGUAAAGCACUUUAAGUUGGGAGGAAGGGCAGUUGCCUAAUACGUAACUGUUUUGACGUUACCGACAGAAUAAGCACCGGCUAACUCUGUGCCAGCAGCCGCGGUAAUACAGAGGGUGCAAGCGUUAAUCGGAAUUACUGGGCGUAAAGCGCGCGUAGGUGGUUUGUUAAGUUGGAUGUGAAAUCCCCGGGCUCAACCUGGGAACUGCAUUCAAAACUGACUGACUAGAGUAUGGUAGAGGGUGGUGGAAUUUCCUGUGUAGCGGUGAAAUGCGUAGAUAUAGGAAGGAACACCAGUGGCGAAGGCGACCACCUGGACUGAUACUGACACUGAGGUGCGAAAGCGUGGGGAGCAAAC